rnacentral:rRNA from 1 species
AUUUGGGGGAGUGUAUAGCAAUAGCUGAUUGCACCAACAAAUAGUUGAUGCAAAAUUGAUUAUAUCAAAUAAAAUUCUAGGUAGAUUUUUGAUAAUGACAUUGCUUACCUAAGUCUUGACCAAAUUACGUGCCAGCAGUCGCGGUAAUACGUAAAAGACUAGUGUUAUUCAUCUUUAAUUGGUUUAAAGGGUACCUAGACAGCGAAUAAAGCCGGAGUAGGGACUAAUUCGCUAGAGUUACUUAUGAGGGGGUAUUAAAGUACUGCAGGUGUAGAGAUGAAAUUUUGUUAUACCUCUUCUCGUAUGAGAAACUAUGGCACAGGUAUAGGUGAAAGCAUCCCCUUAUGUGAUAACUGACGUUGAGGGACGAAGGCUUUGUGUCGCGAACAGGAUUAGAUACCCCAAUAGUCAAAGCAGAAAAUGAUGAAUGUCAUAGAUUAGAUAUGCAAUUUAUUCUAUAAAUGAAAGUGUAAGCAUUCCACCUCAAGAGUAAUUUGGCAACAUUGGAACUGAAAUCAUUAGACCGUUUCUGAAACCAGUAGUGAAGUAUGUUGUUUAAUUUGAUGAUACGCAAAAAACCUUACCACAAUUUGAAUAUUUAUAUAUAUCUUUUAUUGAUUUUUACUAACAUAUUUGUAGACAAUUAAAAUGAUGCCUAUGUCCCGUUUGUGAGACUAAGCAUCAAAAAAAGAUAAUAUAUUUACAAGCGUUGCACGGCUGUCUUCAGUUAAUGUCGCGAGAUUUUGGUUAGUUCCAUUAAAUUAACGUAAACCCUUACUUUAUUUAUAUAUAAAGUAGUUCUCCGCUAUAUUGGAUAUGAUAACAGGACUAAGACAAGUCAUCAUGGCCUAAAAUAUUGUGGGCUAUAGACGUUGCCACAUAA